rfam:Actinomyces johnsonii F0510 genomic scaffold Scaffold661, whole genome shotgun sequence.
UCAACCGCUGGACAGGGACGGUCUCGAGGGUUGGGGAGCCCGAUGACGGACUGCAUCUCUGAGAUGACACCGGGUCAUAGGGAGCCCGGCGUGAUCGUUUCGGCGAAGGAG